rnacentral:tRNA from 1 species
GGCUUCAUAGCUCAGUUGAUGAGAGCAUCACAUUGUUGCCGCGGGGUCACAGGUUUAAACCCUGUUGAAGUCC